rnacentral:tRNA from 1 species
GGGCCUAUAGCUCAGUUGGUUAGAGCACGGGACUCAUAAUCCCUUGGUCCCAGGUUCGAGUCCUGGUGGGCCCACCA